rnacentral:rRNA from 1 species
UACAGAGGUCUCAAGCGUUGUUCGGAUUCAUUGGGCGUAAAGGGUGCGUAGGCGGCGCGGUAAGUCAGGUGUGAAAUCUCGGGGCUCAACCCCGAAACUGCACUUGAUACUGCGAUGCUCGAGUACUGGAGAGGAGAUUGGAAUUUACGGUGUAGCAGUGAAAUGCGUAGAUAUCGUAAGGAAGACCAGUGGCGAAGGCGAAUCUCUGGACAGUUACUGACACUGAGGCACGAAGGCCAGGGGAGCAAACGGG